AACGCACAUUGCGCCCGCUGGUAUUCCGGCGGGCAUGCCCAUUUAAGCAUCAUUUUAAUUCCUUCCCAAAAGGAAGCUUCUGUUUCCACAAAGGUUUCCUCCAGGGGUAUUGGCACCUAUCGCCGCCUAGGCGACCGGAGCCCAAAUGCAAUGGCGGACAUGCAAGCGGUCCCUAGCGCAGUAACAAAAACUUUGCUCAGGAGGCUCGCAGCAAUGGACCACAGCCUAACGCAAAAAGCUUUUUUUGCAACCAAAAACUUAACCUUGGAUCGGGUAGGAUUACCCGCUAAACUUAA
rnacentral:misc_RNA from 1 species